UCUUAAAUCUUAAAAGAUUCUUAAUAAAAUCUUAAAUAAAUUCUAAUUAAAUCAUAGAAAAAUCCUAAUAAAAUCUUAAAUCUUAAACUUAGAUCAAAUUUCAAUUAAAUUCCAAGAAAAUCUUAAAUCUUAAUGCUAAUCCUAAACCAAAUCCUAAUCAAAUUCUAAAUCCUAAUACUAGACCAAAUCCUAAUCAAAUUCUAAAUUCUAAUCUUAGACCAAAUUUCAAUGAAAUUCUAAAUCUUAAUUAAAUCCUAUCAAAUCCUAAAUAAUUUUUAAUUAAAUUCUAAAAAAAUCCUAAAUAAUUUCUAAUUAAGUCCUAAAUAAAUUCUAAUCAAAUUUUAAGGUCUAAAAAAAGUCAAGAAAAU
rnacentral:lncRNA from 1 species